AGCAGCCGCGGUAAUUCCAGCUCCAAUAGCGUAUAUUAAAGUUGUUGCAGUUAAAAAGCUCGUAGUUGAAUUUCGGGGUUCUACCGUUGGUCGGGCUAACAAGUCUGUACUGGUGUGUAGAAUUUCUACCUUCUGGGGAACUAUCAUGUUAUUAAUUUAGCGUGGUAGGAAACCAGGACCUUUACCUUGAAAAAAUUAGAGUGUUCAAAGCAGGCUUAUGUCUGAAUACAUUAGCAUGGAAUAAUAGAAUAGGACGGUGGUCCUGUUUUGUUGGUUUCUGAAUCACCGUAAUGAUUAAUAGGGAUAGUUGGGGGCAUUAGUAUUCAAUUGUCAGAGGUGAAAUUCUUGGAUUUAUUGAAGACUAACUUCUGCGAAAGCAUUUGCCAAGGAUGUUUUCAUUAAUCAAGAACGAAAGUUAGGGGAUCGAAGACGAUCAGAUACCGUCGUAGUCUUAACCAUAAACUAUGCCGACUAGGGAUCGGACGAUGUUAAAUUUAUUGACUCGUUCGGCGCCUUACGG
rnacentral:rRNA from 1 species